UGGACCGAUGUAGUAUAUAUAAUUAAAUAAGUAUAUUUGAGGAUAAAUUUAGGUAAAAUGAUAUGUCUAAUUUUGUUGGAGUUCAUUUUUCGGUAUCUAACACUUUUUUAUUAGUAUUUGUUAAAAUUGUAAUAAUAUGAUUUAUUUUUCUACUGACCAAUUCAAACUUCACUAAUACGAAGACAUAGUUAAAUAAUGAGCUAAUCUUAGAAAAAAUAAUUUUAUGUACGAUUAGUUUAUUUUUUAAAGAGUACAUAUUUUAAUAUGAGCUUUUUUAGCCAUCCCCAUCAAAAUGAAUGAUGUGUUUCUUUUAUUAUUUAUGGAAAAAAAACAAAGGUUUUUGUCAAAUAGGAGAAAAAUUAAAAAUGACACUCGGGAAAAGAAUCAUAACUCAAAUAUGUUAUAUGCAUACAUAUUUUUCGUAAAAGCUAAGAGAUUUAAAGUCACGUAAAUAUUGAACAUAUAAAUAUAAUACCUAAAUAUUACAUUUUUUUUGCUGUU
rnacentral:lncRNA from 1 species